rnacentral:rRNA from 1 species
GACGUAGGGCGCGAGCGUUGUCCGGAUUUAUUGGGCGUAAAGAGCUCGUAGGCGGCUUGUCGCGUCGACUGUGAAAACCCGCAGCUCAACUGUGGGCUUGCAGCCGAUACGGGCAGGCUAGAGUUCGGUAGGGGAGACUGGAAUUCCUGGUGUAGCGGUGAAAUGCGCAGAUAUCAGGAGGAACACCGGUGGCGAAGGCGGAUCUCUGGGCCUUACCUGACGCUCAGGCGCGAAAGCUAGGGGAGCGAACAGG